rnacentral:lncRNA from 1 species
GGAGGCGGGGCGGAGCCUUUCGCGCCUCCGCCCCUGGGUUGGCGGACAGGGGAAGGAGCGAAGAUGGCGGAGUGAGGCGUGCCCCGGGCAGCUGGCCUGCGGGCCCGGGGCAGGCCUCCCGUGAGAAGCGGAGUACUUGUGCUGGACCGUGUGAGGAACCAUAUCACACAAGAUGAAUAUUUUCCUGACCUUAGGUGCUUUUAUAUUCAGCUCAACAUUCUGAACUCAGGACUUGGCACGAAUUCCUAUGUGGACUGCUCAGUGAGGCGUCCUGGUUCUUCCAUCCUGUUACUUUCCCCAGUGAGAUGCAGAUGUCUUUCGACAGAUUACCUCCAUGGUUUAGGAUGCAGAGACUGCCUUUCUUUUACGUCAGACUCAACACAGGAAAGCCGUGAGGAUGCAGCCGUCCUGUUGACUUCAGCAAGAAAACAAACCAUGGACUUGGGUCUUCUGCAGCUUUUGAAUUGGAAAGACGGUGUUUGCAAGUAGAAGGAAGAUGCUGAAUUUGAAACAAGUGCUUAGGUUCUGUGGCGUGAGUUGUUUUCUUUUUAAAAGAUCCAAACAAGAAGACUGAACAAAUACCAAGUGUGGGUGACUUCAGGUUUUUUUUUUAAUGUCUUCCAAUUUUAACACUAUUAUAAGCACAGUUGACCGCAGUAAGUUCCAAAUAUUUAAUAUAAUUUGAAGUGAAAGAAAUGUUAUCUAAAUUCUGGCUCACUCUUUGACAGUUUUCCUGGACAAAAACAAGAUACGAUAAAAGCAGAAACCAGGUUUGAUUUUGUAUGGGAGUGAAAUCAUUACAGUUUUAUGGGUAUAAAUCUACAUUUUUAAACAAGAUUUUUCUCUUGGAGAAGAAACCUGUUGUUUAUAAGAAGGCUUUGGACAGUUUAAUAGUCUUAAAUGUUCUGCUUUGCUGUUCUAGUCCUUCUCAGGAAGGCCCAGCUGGGCCUGUGGCUAGUUCAGAAUGGGAGGAAACAUAGGCUGGGACAAUGCUCACCCUGAACUGCCAGCGUGUGGGAGGCCAAGGCAGGAAGAGCAGAUGUUCAGGGCCAGCUUGGACAUCAAGAGGCUCAAAACCAGUAGGAAAAAAAACAGAGCCCAGUAACACCCUCUUUUAUAUUCCUUUUGUGGAAUCAUGUAGCAUGUGAGACUGGGUUGGAAGGGAACUGGCAUAUGUGGUAUUUCAGUUAAGGUGAUGUGGUGGACCCUGAUGUGUAACUGGCCUUCACCUUUGGACAUACAGGAAUGAAGGAAAAACUAAAGCUUGGCAUAUAAAUCUUUUCUUCUAAGAAAAAGAAGCAAAGCUGUCUAAUGUAGCAUUGUCUGACUUUUCAACAUUUUUACUUUAUGUGGUUGCAUUUUUUUAUAAAAGUAUAAAUAAGUUCCUUCAACCCAAAAUGGGUACUUGGACAGAUUUUUUUUUCUGGGUGAUAAUGUAAUGUUAUGCUGAAAAUCUGGGACUCAGGUAAAUUUUCCCAGUUUGAAUUGAGCUGUCUUACCAGAGAAUGGGCCUCAGAAGCAAUGUUCCCAGUCCUGUGGUUGGUUCACUAUAAUCUCAGAAGAAAUUUGGAAUAUGAAUCAAAUUUCAAAUAAGAAAAGCAGAUCCGAUAAGAAGUGUGGAUCUAGUUGCAAGUCACUGUAGAUUUAAAGGAAAUUUAGGGCCUGGGGUGGGGGGAUAACUCGAGAAUUCAUUCCAGUGAGAGGUGAUACGUGCUCUUUCUCCCUUUAGUAGUUAUGUUAUAAGGAACUAUUGUGGAAAUAUCUCUUCCUUCUCAAUCAAUGGAAGUUUAUUAUAUGGGAUGCCAGGCUUUUACAUGAGAGGGUACCAUUGUUUGCAACGGUUGCCAGUAGAGAAGGAGUUUUAAGCUUGUUAGAUGAGAGAGAAACAGAUGCUGUUAGAGCUGACUUCUGGAACGGGCUCUCAGUGCUGCAGGUGCUGUGAAUUUGAGUCAUAAAAAUGUUCAAAAUUAGAAAAUGUUGAACAUUCAUGGUUAGUCAGAUUGGGCAACAAAAUUGAAUUUAUGCUAAAAGCUUUUUUCAUGAAUAUUUAUUAUAAAUAACCUAUUAAUGAGAGCAAAUAAUAAUAAAAUACUAGAGAAAUAACAUGUUUAAGGUAACCUAAAUUUCUGGGCUUGGUUGCUCAACCUAUAACCACAUUUUGACGACUGAGGCAGGAGGAUAGGCCACAAAGAUCAAGGCCAGCCUGAAUGACAGACACUGUCUCAAAAUGAAACAAAAAUAUAACCCACGUUUUUCAAGUGCCCCAGCCACUUAUAUUUUUAUUUAGAAGACAAAGCCAGCUGGUGGUUGAGAGCACCUCCUAGAUGCUGAGCUGUCCUGCACCUUGCCCUUGGGCAGGCAGGGGCUGUCACUGCUAGGGAAGUGUUCCCCAUUUGCUCCAGGUGCUUCAGGGAAGUGCACUUUGUCUGAGCCGCUCCCGCAUCCUGCAUCAUUAACACCAAAUGGUGUUCACAGCAUGGGUGGAUCCCAGCCCUAAUUGCUUGGUGUGUGUGUGUGUGUGUGUGUGUGUGUGUGUGUGUGUGUGUGUGUGUGUGUGUGUGGCACAUUUCCAUUUAUAGUCUUACUUGAGUUUUCUUCUUAAUAGCAGCAAAGACUACCAUUUUAGAGUUGUGCCUCCAUUUAUAGCUGUGCCUCCUCCCUUCUCCAUGUAAGCUGGCAGUUUUUCUUUUGAAGUUUCUAAACAAAAACGGGAUAUGUGCAAUAUAUAUAAAUAUAUAUAUAAUGUAUAUUUUAAUACUUGUGGACAAGUGUUACAAGUUGUUUAAGAACAACAAAAUCACCAAUGUCUUCCAUUUUGAGAUGUGUAUAGUUUUGUAAGCAGUAGUGCUUGAUAGCAUAUUGUAGUGCCAUGUUAGGGGUUAGUGCAUGAAUUUAGUAUAAUUUUAAACUUCAAGAUGAAAUAUUGAUAAUAACCAGUAGUGUAAAAAGUGUGGAAAAUCCUAGACCUUUACUUUUUUUGUAUAUGAAUAUUUGAUAGUCUCCCUGCGGAUAGGAGAAAAGGCCAAAACAACUAAUGUCUGAACAGAAGUGUGGCUUCCCACUGAGAGCCACUGCGCUUGGGGGAAUGUUAGGCCUUUCACGGGGGAGCUAGAAUAGCUACCUUUGUAGCCCUUUAGUCCUCACAGCAAGGCCUGGGUUCAGGCUUCUCUUGCUCUCUAAGUUUGAAGCUAGAUUGGUCCUGUAUUGAUUUUGCAUUGUAUGUUUUGGGUUCACUUUUCCUCUUUUGUGUCCAGAAAAUAAUUUUCUGUUUUGCAUGUCUGAGAUGCCGUGCUGAUUGCUUUGGAAUGUUUACUCUGUGGCCAUUUCCUUUCCUGCUUGCAGCAUGUGUGCUAACUGCAAAGCCUUGUCAGCAGUUUGGAGUAUCCUGUACUUUAGGCUUUGCCCCAUUCUACAUCUGACUUGGGUGUUGAGUCCAGUCUCUCUCAUGAGAACUGAUAGCUCAGUGGGGCCCAUGUAGGUUGACAAAAAGUAUGUUGGCCUUCCUUUGGUAAUUGUUGAGAGCUUUCACAUUUUUUCUACUUUCCUUAUGAAAAUAAAGUAGUUGCUUUGUUCUGAAAAAUAAAGUUUUCUAUAAAAUGGAAUUCCUA